rnacentral:misc_RNA from 1 species
UGUGGGAGCGAGCCUGCUCGCGAUAGCGGUGUGUCAGUCAACAGUAUUGUUGCUGGUCUACCGCUAUCGCGAGCAGGCUCGCUCCCACA